rnacentral:lncRNA from 1 species
UACAUGGUUUUAAUAGACAAAAAUACCUCAUAUUAUGGAUUGUAAGUUUUAAAGUCAAGAGUAUUUGAAUAAUUUACAUUUUUAAAACUAAAAAAAAAAAAAAAUAAUCGCCAAAUCCUUAGUCACCUUUCUCUCAUCCUUCAUUCUUCUCAACCUUUUCUCUUUCAUCUCUCUCACUCCAACCUUACCGUAGCCUAAACUGAAAAAAUCAUAAACACUCAUUUAACACUAAUUAACCUUUCUCACUUAUCCAAUUUGUUUAUCUUUCACUCUAUCAUCUCUCUUUCACCAAUACACACCAACCCACGACACCGCAAUUUAUUGAUCUUACUAUGUUCGUUCAUUUGUUU